rnacentral:rRNA from 1 species
CAGCAGCCGCGGGAAAACGUAGGGGGCAAGCGUUAUCCGGAAUAACUGGGCGUAAAGGGUGCGCAGGUGGUUUAACAAGUUAGUGGUGAAAGGCAUAGGCUCAACCAAUGUAAGCCAUUAAAACUGUUUAACUUGAGUGCAGGAGAGGAAAGUGGAAUUCCUAGUGUAGCGGUGAAAUGCGUAGAUAUUAGGAGGAAUACCAGUGGCGAAGGCGACUUUCUGGACUGCAACUGACACUGAGGCACGAAAGCGUGGGGAGCAAACAGGAUUAGAUACCCCUGUAGUCCCUGUCUCUUAUACC